UACGUAGGGGGCAAGCGUUGUCCGGAUUUAUUGGGCGUAAAGAGCGUGUAGGCGGCCAGGUAGGUCCGUUGUGAAAACUCGAGGCUCAACCUCGAGACGCCGAUGGAAACCAUCUGGCUAGAGUCCGGAAGAGGAGAGUGGAAUUCCCGGUGUAGCGGUGAAAUGCGCAGAUAUCGGGAAGAACACCCGUGGCUAAGGCGGCUCUCUGGAACGGUACUGACGCUGAGACGCGAAAGCGUGGGGAGCGAACAGG
rnacentral:rRNA from 1 species